GCAGCAGUGGGGAAUAUUGCACAAUGGGCGAAAGCCUGAUGCAGCUAUGCCGCGUGUAUGAAGAAGGCCUUAGGGUUGUAAAGUACUUUCAUCGGGGAGGAAAAAACAAAACUAAUAAUUUUAUUUCUUGACGUUACCCGAAAAAGAAGCACCGGCUAACUCCGUGCCAGCAGCCGCGGUAAUACGGAGGGUGCUAGCGUUAAUCAGAAUUACUGGGCGUAAAGAGCACGUAGGUGGUUUUUUAAGUCAGAUGUGAAAUCCCUGGGCUUAACCUAGGAACUGCAUUUUGAAACUGAAAUACUAGAGUAUCGUAGAGGGAGGUAGAAUUCUAGGUGUAGCGGUGAAAUGCGUAGAUAUCUGGAGGAAUACCUGUGGCGAAAGCGGCCUCCUAAACGAAUACUGACACUGAGGUGCGAAAGCGUGGGGAGCAAACAGGGAUUAGAUACC
rnacentral:rRNA from 1 species